rnacentral:rRNA from 1 species
CACGUUGUGGUGGGGACUCAUUGGGAGACUGCCGGGGUCAACUCGGAGGAAGGUGAGGACGACGUCAAAUCAUCAUGCCCCUUAAUGUCUUGGGCUUCACGCUGCUACAAUGGCCGGUACAAUGGGUUGCGAUACUGUGAGGUGGAGCUAAUCCCAAAAAGCCGGUCUCAGUUCGGAUUGGGGUCUGCAACUCGACCCCAUGAAGUCGGAGUCGCUAGUAAUCGCAGAUCAGCAACGCUGCGGUGAAUACGUUCCCGGGCCUUGUACACACCGCCCGUCAAGUCACGAAAGUUGGUAACACCCGAAGCCGGUGGCCUAACCCUUGUGGG